rnacentral:rRNA from 1 species
CCUACGGGAGGCAGCAGUGAGGAAUAUUGGUCAAUGGACGAGAGUCUGAACCAGCCAAGUAGCGUGAAGGAUGACUGCCCUAUGGGUUGUAAACUUCUUUUAUAUGGGAAUAAAAUGUUCCACGUGUGGGAUUUUGUAUGUACCAUAUGAAUAAGGAUCGACUAACUCCGUGCCAGCAGCCGCGGUAAUACGGAUGAUCCGAGCGUUAUCCGGAUUUAUUGGGUUUAAAGGGCGCGUAGGUGGAUUGUUAAGUCAGUUGUGAAAGUUUGCGGCGCAACCGUAAAAUUGCAGUUGAAACUGGCAGUCUGGAGUACAGUAGAGGUGGGCGGAAUUCGUGGUGUAGCGGUGAAAUGCUUAGAUAUCACGAAGAACUCCGAUUGCGAAGGCAGCUCACUGGACUGCAACUGACACUGAGGCUCGAAAGUGUGGGUAUCAAACAGGAUUAGAUACCCCUGUAGUC